rnacentral:rRNA from 2 species
CUUUAUUGGAGAGUUUGAUCCUGGCUCAGGAUGAACGCUGGCGGCGUGCCUAAUACAUGCAAGUCGAGCGAAUGGAUUGAGAGCUUGCUCUCAAGAAGUUAGCGGCGGACGGGUGAGUAACACGUGGGUAACCUGCCCAUAAGACUGGGAUAACUCCGGGAAACCGGG